AAUAACACAACACAAUGAGAAACCGCUUUUAGAAAUUGACCUGCGACAUAAUUACGAAAAGGGAAUUUAUUUCCAUGGCAAUACGUUUCGAAUUUGAAUGUACCGAUGCUGGGUGAAGAAUAGUUUGGACUAUUAAAAUAAUAAUAAUAAAAUAAACAAAAUCCGUAACGAGAAGGGAUUUUGCUUUUUUAUUUUUCAAGUAUUUAUGUUUGAAAUGACAGUAGAUGCUACGGGGAGGGUGUCUGGGCGGUAACAUUAGCCUCGGUGUAGCAGCACGCUGCCUUUUUGCAAGAAGCUUGGCAUUUGCAGCUCGACUUUAACGAACACACACACACACACACACACACACACACACGUGCUCACGUAGACAGAGAGGUGAAGGAAGCCAUCUGAUGAGGGAAGUGGGGAUGGGAUGAGGAUAGGGAGCGCGCAGCGGCUACACUGGACAGUGAUGGACAGGGAGGGAGAUGUAGCAGAGGAGACCGCUCUGUCCAACACGCACAUCUCUCUGAUCUGAUGUGAUUUUUUAUUUUUUUUUUUAUUUUUUUAAAAAGAAAAAUCAUGAGAAGUUUACGAAGACUCGCCCAUGUAGUCCUUUUCUGCCCAUUACCCAAAGGACUGCAGAGUCGUCUCCCAGCCAUUAAGGUCAAGUACCUGUUCUUGGCAUGGCUGGGUAUCCUGGUGGGAAGCUGGGCAGUCUACAUGCACUAUUCCUCCUACUCUGAACUCUGCAGGGGUCACGUCUGUCAGAUGGUCAUUUGUGACCACUACAGAAGGGGCAUCAUCUCAGGAUCAUCCUGCAAGGCCCAGUGUGAAGAUAAUACCCUGAUUCUUCAGCACUGCAUGUCCUCCACCCCCAACCACCAGGUAUACAGUGGAGUUUGGAAUGAGAAGUCUGUUGUCAUAAAGUGUGGUAUCAAAGAAACAGGGAGAGGCGACAGCAGUCCAGACUCCAUGCUCCGACGAGAGAUGACACUCUUCGAAAAGCCAGCACGAGGCACGUCCAUGGAUGAGUUCCGGGGAAUGCUUCACAACUUUCUCAAGUCAAAUCUAGGAGAGCAGCCUUCUAUAGGGACUCUGGUGGGACAUGUCAUUACCUUAGCGGAUGUCAACAAGGAUGGGAGAGUAUCUUUAGCGGAGGCCAAGUCAGUGUGGGCGCUUCUGCAGGUCAACGAAUUCCUCCUGAUGAUGGCGCUACACGAGAAGGAGCACACACCGAAGCUGCUCGGUUUCUGCGGCGAUCUCUAUGUGACGGAUCACCUGGAUCACAGUUCUCUCUACAGUCUAGUUGUCCCAAAUUACCUGCAGUCGCUGGUCCCCCAGGCCCUGAGCACUAGCGUAAACCGGUGGCUGGCACCGGCAUGGCCUCGCCGUGCCCGCAUCACAAUUGGCCUCCUGGAGUUUGUGGAAGAAGUGUUCCAUGGCUCUUACGGGAGCUUCUUCAUGUGCGAUGCCAGCGCACACCACGUGGGUUACAAUAACAAGUACGACUGCAAAAUGGCCGACCUGCGCAGCGUGGUGCCCGAGAUGUCGGUUCAGGGUUUCCUCAAGGGACGCCGCUGUGAGACCAAUGCCGACUGCACGUACGGCAGGGACUGCACCGCCACAUGUGACAAGCUCAUCAAGCAGUGCAACACCGAGGUGGUGCAGCCCAACCUGGCCAAAGUUUGCCGACUGCUCCGGGACUACCUGCUGUUCGGGGCACCUCAUGAUCUGCGGCUGGACUUGGAGAAGCAGCUUCGCACCUGCAUGACCCUCAGCGGCCUGGCCAGUCAGAUGGAGGUUCACCACUCCUUGGUGCUCAACAACCUGAAGACCUUGCUGUGGAAAAAGAUCUCCAACACACAGUACUCCUGAAGAAACGGGCCGUGUCUGAGAGACUAAAGUAGUGAUGUUUCUGGACUUGUUCUAAAAAUGAUACGAGGAACAGAAAACCGUAAUGACAAAAAGUGACAUGGACUGAAAAGAAAAUUUUCUGCUCUGUGGCUUUCAAAAGACUUUUUAAUGACAGCAUUGGUUCCAUUGAAGUCACAGCAGAACGAACUCUACAAGAGGGAUUUGUCAUCUUGGGUAACUCUUAGACUGGAUCUCUCUGAGAAAGAGUACAGCAAUGUAUAACCUCACUAUUUUUGAACCGAAUCAUUUGGGAUGAGAUUGUCAACGACUGUCAAAGAUAGAUGAUUCGUUAGACCCUCCAAAGUCUGUUAUACAACACUCUCAGGGCUGUGUGUGAGUGACAGAAUUAUUCAUUGUACUUGAGCACUUAGGCUUUAUAGUUGACACACUGGACAAAGCUUUCAGAGCAAAGCGUUUGACCUUAAGUCCCCCCGACACCCUAGAACGCUUGCUGGUGAAGUGUAGCGUCUCAGUAAGCGUGUGCGUACCUGCGUGUGUGACGGAGCAAGAGAGAGACGGCAGAAGACUUUUAAACUUCUUUCCAUGGGACGCAAUACUCAAUGAAUCACUGUUGAGAAGCGCUUUGGAAAAAGCUCUAAGAUGGAUUUGUCUUUCCGUUAGCGCACAAUGUUAAUUCGUUUGUUCCGUGAGGCUGCAUUCGGACUCUGUUACUAAACACCGCGGACCUGAGAUCGUCACAGAUGUCAGCUCUGAGUCAAGGAAAAAUGCGCCUAGAUGAGUCACACGGAUGGUCUGCAUACUGUAGCGCGUAUCUGGCGCCAGGGUUCUGGGGCUGGGCGACAUUUGCGAGGCAAGAAUGUGAAAACUGUGAAGUGUUUGCUGGAAAUGAGAAGUGUGUGUUUUGAAGCGGAGCGUUGCUCACCGGCGAGGACCGAGCAUUCAGCAGUGGUGAAGAUCCACUAAUAAACAAAACACGGUCUUUGUACAAGAGUUGUUUGCGAUCGUCUGAAUGUCCGCGUCACUCUACUCUUUCCUUUUGCCGAGGCGGCACGGUCGAAGAAGUUUGCCACACCUGUGCUUGUGCGCUUAAGGGCACCGAAGUGGCACGUGGAACUUUUGGGUACUCCAGCAUCAGACAUCUCAGACUUCCUUCCCAGAAUGCUGACAGUCACUUUCACUUGACUGAACACUGAAAUGCUGCCCUUGCCCAUUCAUUCCCAGAUCACAUUAGUUACUAAAUGCUGCAGAAAUGCUGGCACGGCCACUUUCGCAUCAGGUGAAAAGCUGCAGGGUAGCAGCACUUAAAACUCGGUAGAAGUGUUCCUUUCAGACGUGGCUUCACAUAAUGGUUUUGGCCUAAAUUAACCUAAAUCGCCACAUGUCAAAUAAUACGUCGAAUAAACUGAAGAAAUUGUAAGUUGCUUUGGACAAAAAGUGUCUGUUGCACAGCAGAACAAUACUAUAACAAUGACAGUUGAUAUUUUUGCAAGGUGUGGAUUCUUUUGGGGGAUGCAGAGCCUCGCAGCUCUUCCGUCCUCGAUGGGUGUGGGUUCAAAUCACUCACAGAACACGCUUCUCCUAGGCUUGCUCCUGACUAACAUGCAUGGAAGAAGGCCCUGACAAACUGCUUCUGUUCCUCCCUUGCCUAAAAACCACACAAGAUGUUGCAGAGAACUGGAUUUAACUUGCUGGCACUUCCACGCAUAUAGAUUCUUUUAGCAUCAACAUGCUUUGGCCUUAAGGGUGGCAUGGUUUUCCCAAACAGCUCCUGGGCUUUGGCUUGGAAUCUGGCUCAGGCUCUGCGGAGUUUUCAUGCACCAGCUUCCUCCCCUGGUCCAAAGACAUGGGUUUCAGGCCUUCGCCGAGAGCGCAGCCAACAGCAGCGUCGGAACGGAGAGCCUGCAGCGCACAGACAACAGCGACAACAGCGACAACACUGACACCUACUGGCUAGAAACAGUAGUACCACCACGUCCGCAGAAGAAAGCGGGUCGAUUAGAAAGAAAUAAGGAUCGCAU